GACGUAGGGCGCGAGCGUUGUCCGGAUUUAUUGGGCGUAAAGAGCUCGUAGGCGGCUUGUCGCGUCGUCCGUGAAAACCUGCAGCUCAACUGCAGGCUUGCGGUCGAUACGGGCAGGCUGGAGUUCGGUAGGGGAGACUGGAAUUCCUGGUGUAGCGGUGAAAUGCGCAGAUAUCAGGAGGAACACCGGUGGCGAAGGCGGCAUCCUGGACCAACACUGACACUGAGGAGCGAAAGCCAGGGGAGCAAACGGG
rnacentral:rRNA from 1 species